AUUGAACGCUGGCGGCAGGCCUAACACAUGCAAGUCGAGCGGAUGAAGGGAGCUUGCUCCUGGAUUCAGCGGAGGACGGGUGAGUAAUGCCUAGGAAUCUGCCUGGUAGUGGGGGAUAACGUCCGGAAACGGGCGCUAAUACCGCAUACGUCCUGAGGGAGAAAGUGGGGGAUCUUCGGACCUCACGCUAUCAGAUGAGCCUAGGUCGGAUUAGCUAGUUGGUGGGGUAAAGGCCUACCAAGGCGACGAUCCGUAACUGGCCUGAGAGGAUGAUCAGUCACACUGGAACUGAGACACGGUCCAGGCUCCUACGGGAGGCAGCAGUGGGGAAUAUUGGACAAUGGGCGAAAGCCUGAUCCAGGCAUGCCGCGUGUGUGAAGAAGGUCUUCGGAUUGUAAAGCACUUUAAGUUGGGAGGAAGGGCAGUAAGUUAAUACCUUGCUGUUUUGACGGUACCAACAGAAUAAGCACCGGCUAACUUCGUG
rnacentral:rRNA from 1 species